UGUUAGUCCCCAAACAAUGAUGAAGACCUUCCCUGACGUAUUCCUGGCACCCACAAGACUAGUGCUAAAGUCGCUUCAGUCACGUCUGACUCUGCAACCUAUGGACUGUGGCCUGCCAGGCUCCUCUGUCCAUGGGAUUCUCCAGGCAAGAAUACUGUGAGUGGAUUUUCAUGUCCACCUCCAGGGGAUCUUCCCAACCCAGGGAUCAAAUCCUGCAUUGCAGGCGGAUUCUUUAUAGUCUGAGCCACUAGUGCUCCUUUGGUGGUGCUGAGUGCAGUUGCAAAUGCUUCCAGAUCAUUGUCUGCCUGACCCCAACUUGAAAAGGACUGUGAACAAAGCUACACCCUCAGUGUUACAAGACAGAGGAGAGUAACUACCUACAUAUUAUGAAACCUUCACAGAUAAGUAUGAAUUUCCCCCAAGAUAAGUAUAACAACAUAGGAAAUAUCAUAGGUGUGAAGUUCCAGAUGUGGCCAUCUGGAAAUAAGAAAAAAUUUGGUUGUAAGUACAUUCAUCAAAUUGUUUACAAUAGUGAAAAAUGGAAACAGCUGCCCAACCACAGAAGACUGAUUAAAUACAAUAUAUCCAUACUUAAGAAUAAUACUGUCAUUAUAUAUAUAAACUGAUGUUCACAUCUUUAUGAGAGGAUUACAAAACUAUUUUUACAAUUCUAUUUUUUAAAAAUUUAAAGUGUCU
ensembl:lncRNA